GUCCUACGGGAGGCAGCAGUAGGGAAUUUUCGUCAAUGGGCGCAAGCCUGAACGAGCAAUGCCGCGUGAACGAGGAAGGUCUUCGGAUCGUAAAGUUCUGUUGAAGGGGAAAAAGAGCGGAGAGAGGAAAUGCUUCCUGAUUGAUAUUACCCUUCGAGGAAGUCACGGCUAACUACGUGCCAGCAGCCGCGGUAAUACGUAGGGAGCGAGCGUUGUCCGGAAUUACUGGAUGUAAAGGGAGCGUAGGCGGGACGGCAAGUCAGAUGUGAAAACUGAGGGCUCAACCUUCAGACUGCAUUUGAAAC
rnacentral:rRNA from 1 species